AUACGGAGGGUGCAAGCGUUAAUCGGAAUUACUGGGCGUAAAGCGUACGUAGGCGGUUAUUUAAGUCAGAUGUGAAAGCCCCGGGCUUAACUUGGGAACUGCAUUUGAAACUGGGUAACUAGAGUUUAGUAGAGGGGAGUGGAAUUUCAGGUGUAGCGGUGAAAUGCGUAGAGAUCUGGAGGAACACCAGUGGCGAAGGCGACUCCCUGGACUAAAACUGACGCUGAGGUACGAAAGCGUGGGUAGCAAACAGGAUUAGAAACCCCGGUAGUCC
rnacentral:rRNA from 1 species